GAUGAAGAACGUAGUGAAAUGCGAUACGUAAUGUGAAUUGCAAAUUCAGUGAAUCAUCGAGUCUUUGAACGCACAUUGCGCCCCCUGGUAUUCCGGGGGGCAUGCCUGUCCGAGCGUCAUUGCUGCCCUCAAGCACGGCUUGUGUGUUGGGCCCCGUCCUCCGAUCCCGGGGGACGGGCCCGAAAGGCAGCGGCGGCACCGCGUCCGGUCCUCGAGCGUAUGGGGCUUUGUCACCCGCUCUGUAGGCCCGGCCGGCGCUUGACGAUCAACCCAAAUUUUUAUCCAGGUUGACCUCGGAUCAGGUAGGGAUACCCGCUGAACUUAAGCAUAUCAAUAAGCGGAGGA
rnacentral:misc_RNA from 1 species